GGCGCGGUGCGCAAUCUGGCAAAGCGGCCAAGCUCAAACCUUGGUGAUUUUGUGGGUUCGACUCCCACCCGCGCCA
rnacentral:tRNA from 1 species